AACGAACGCUGGCGGCAGGCCUAACACAUGCACGUCGAGCGAAGCCUUCGGGCUUAGCGGCGGACGGGUGAGUAACGCGUGGGAACGUGCCCUUUGCUACGGAAUAGCCCCGGGAAACUGGGAGUAAUACCGUAUGUGCCCUUCGGGGGAAAGAUUUGUCGGCAAAGGACCGGCCCGCGUUGGAUUAGGUAGUUGGUGGGGUAAUGGCCUACCAAGCCGACGAUCCAUAGCUGGUUUGAGAGGAUGAUCAGCCACACUGGGACUUAGACACGGCCCAGACUCCGACGGGAGGCAGCAGUGGGGAAUCUUAGACAAUGGGCGGAAUCCUGAUCUAGCCAUGCCGCGUGAUCGAUGAAGGCCUUAGGGUUGUAAAGAUCUUUCAGGUGGGAAGAUAAUGACUGUACCACCAGAAGAAGCCCCGGCUAACUCCGUGCCAGCCGCCGCCGUAAGAC
rnacentral:rRNA from 1 species